rnacentral:misc_RNA from 1 species
CAUCAAGGACCCUGCUUUGGUAUAUCAAAAUUAGAUCAAGGUUUGAUGCACGAUAUGAAGUGUUAUCAAAAUUGGUAUUGGAAAUCCAGCAUCAUUUAACACCUUGGCUCAAUAGAUGCCACUGAUCCAAUGGUGUACAAUGUUUUAUGAAAACUAAACUUGUGAACAAAUCCUAAAACUAGAAUGGAAAAAUCUUAAAAUAAUUGACCAUGUUCAGGACAAAGAACAUAAAUUAGUAAGAUGCAUGAUUCAGUCAGCUCUUGGAAAAUUUAUAUUUUCCGGCAGAGUAUUAACGAUUUCCUUUAAUGUAACAUUUCUUGGAAGUGGUUCUCCUAUCUGUCUGAAGCGGUAACUUUCUGCAAACUGCUCUGAGCACUGUUUGCCGAAGGUGGUGCAACUAGAAUGGAAACUGCUUGAACAGGUUUGGUUUGGUCCUUUUCAAGUGGAAUAAACCACUUUUCUCUUUCUUUCCCUUCGGAAGAAGCCUGUCCCAUGUCAAGUGAUGAAUGCCUGUUUAUCAAACAAGCAUCAUAAUGUGGAAAAUUACGAAUAAGAGAAAUUAUACAAGCAGUGGCUGAACAUAAAGACAUAAGUCUUGUUCUAUUUCAAAUGAUGAACACAGAUUAUAAGGGUGGCAAAAAUCAUUCAAGCCAAUGCUCCAGGGCUAGAGAGAAUUAUGAGAAACGCAUGAAGAAAAUAUUUAAAAUUUGGUAUAGAAGCAAGACAAUCUUGAUAAAUGGCAAGAAAUGAUGAAUAAGUGAAGGAGCCAAGUUAUUAUACACAUUAGUGAAAUUUCAUUAUAACUGAGAACAAUAGAACUUUGAGUUGUCCCAAGAAAGCUGCAAAAACAAUGAUGAGAGUUUUUCUUUUUACAUUUCCUAUUGUUGGGUUAGAUGAAGUAACUAUUGCAAGUUUACGAAUGUAGCUUAUCAAAUUGUCAAAUAUUUCAAUGCUACAGUGGUAUUUUUCUUUAGAGAAGGAAUACAGAUGAAGACCGAGACAGGGACAGAAAACACUAGUUAUCUAGAUCAGAAGCUAUCAAAAGCAAAAAUAUUAAGCAAUAAUUGGAUAUCAAUUAUUAGUUUCCAGUACUGUUAAUCUGUUACUAAAGGAAAGAAUUGGCAGCAGCUAAAGCAGAAACGAUACUACCUAAGAAUGCAAGCACCAGCAACCGCAAGGCUCUAACCAGGUGCAUUGUAAGGCUACAAAUCACAUGUGAGCAUAGAAAUCCUACUUAUUUCAAAACAUAAAAUCAUAUUCUAAACCAUUCUUGCGCAAAUCUUGAAUUUCCUCUUUGCCUAAAAGUACAGCACUUAUCCUUCUCUGAAUUUGCAUCUAAAUUGAUGUGAUGAACUUACAAUGCAGUAGAGAAGCAAGCAACUCUAACUAGAUAGAGACAUUGAAGUUCCAACCAAGUAGUAGAGAUUGAGAAAUAAAAGUACCAGGAGGGUAAAGUGUUGUCAUCUUCUUACUCCGGAUUGGCCUUGGUUGGGGGUUCAUGAAAACGAAAACAAAAUCUGCAAGUCUGCAAUGCAUGGAGCAAAAAAGAAAUACGCUUUGUUUCCUUUUUCCAAGGACUAGAAAGAAGCUCAAGAGUAGGCUAAUUAUAUAUACCUCCAGGGUCUUGCUC